GCUUCUCAGCAGGAGCCUGCAGGGCUCAGCCUAGAGAGCUCAGACCUCACCCUACUUCUCCUCACCAGGUACUUUAGUUGGUGUUCAUGUGGUGUGUGUGCGUGUGUGCCUGUGCGUGCGUGUGUGUGUGUGUGUGUGUGUGUGUGUGUGUGUGUGUGUGUGUGUGUUGCGCAUUUCCCCAGCAGAACGGAAACUCCAACAGGCUGGCUGUUUAUGCCAGUUCUCUUGGCCGACGUACACCCAGCAUCUGGAAGCAUGCCCAGCAGAGAGAAGGCGCCUAAUGGACGUUUGUUACAAUUCUCUCCUGAGAGUGUAGUUCUGAGUGAUAGGGGGUCAAACUAGGGACAUAAAAGGUGGAAAAAAGAAGAACCCACAAAGUAGCAUAGGCCAGCUACAACUACUGCAACUGAAGUGUCCAGGCAAGGCACAGAUUACUCUUGAUCAGCAAGGUCCAAUUGGAAGAUGGAACACAGAGACUGGAAAGGCAGAACCAAACCGUGAUGAGCUGAAGCCUAGCGCCAGCAGUGCCCGUCCUGCAUUGAAGGGACCCAAGAGAGCAGCCCUCCUCUCCUCCUUGUUCCCGAAGCCUGAAGAACGCGUGUCACCUGCUAAUGGGACCCGGCAGGUGGAACUAGAUCACAGGUUGAAAUGAAGAUGUCAGACUGCAAAGCAGGGGACAGUAACCAGACCUGGCAGGUGCUCAGCCAGCCGGUCCCCUUGACACCCCCACUCUACCACCCCACCACACACGCUAAGCUCCCGUCUCCCAGGAGCCUCUGCUCACUGCUCUGUUUCCCUCUAUCUGAAGCUCCUAAAGGAAUUCAGAAUUGUCACAGAUGCACUAACUAAACACCAGGCUGGAGCCACUGAUCCAUCUUGCCAAACCAGGCUUAUGUUUUUCAAAAUAGUUCUUAAUGGAGAAUUUCAAAAACAGAGGAAUGGGGCUGGAGAAGUGACUUCUGGGUUAAAAGCAGACCCUGUUCUUGCAGAGGGCCUAAAUUCAGUUCCUAGCACUUACCGUGUGUCUCACAAAUGCAUGAGCAUGUCCAGGGGCAUCUGACGCACAAGCCCAUACCCACAAGUGUAUACAGAAUUAAAAAUUGUAGUGGCGCACACCUUUAGUCCCAGCGUCCAAGAGACAGAAGCAGGCAGAUCUCUGAGUUCAAAGCCAGCCUGGUCUAUAGAAUGAGUUCCAAGACAGCCAGAGCUACAUGGUGAGAUCCUGUCUUAAGUUGCCCCCACAUUUUCUUAAAAAACAUCUUAAAACAAACAACAGAACAGAACAGUACAGGAACUCACAAUCUAAUGAACCUGAAGGUGGUCACUGCCCGACACCUACAGCGUCUGCGUGGCCCCACCCUCCUGGUUAUUCUGAAGCAGAUUCCAGCAAUGCACCAUCUCUCCUACCGAUGUUUCAGUGCUGUGUUUGUCACUGUGGCUGUGACAAACACCUGACAGAAGUUGCUCAAGAGCUACAGUGGGGAAGGCACAGCUCAGGAAUGUUAAGCAGUUGGUCACAUCACAACCACAGUCAGUAAGGGAUGAAGAGAGGGAUGAAGGCCAGGGCUCACCCACUUUCUCCUUUUUUUGUAUUCAGUCAGCACCUCAGCCCAUGGGGUGGCCACAAACACUUUCAGGUGGGUCUUCUCUGCUCAGUUAAUGAUCUCUGGAAGCAGCCUUAGAGACAAACCCAGGUGAUAUAAAUCCAGUCAGGCUGACUGUGAAGAUUAAACAUCCACGAUGUCUCUAAAAGAUAAGAGCUCGGUUUAAAAUGUAUUACAUCCAUUUAUCAUGUGUAUAAAUGCAUGCUGUACACUGCGGCCCUGUGAGACGCUGUCUCUCAGCACCCUGCUCUAUGCCCUACCUGCCUCCUCCUCUAGGAACCCCUACCCCGACCCUGGAGCCACCUGCCCCUGAAGGCCCCUGACCUCUGUCCUCCAAACCCGAUGCCAGUUGUUUGUCCUCCUUGCAAGGUAGCAGUAGGUUCAGAGCCAUCCUCUUGCUGGGCUGCCCCCAGACUGACUCCCGUCUUCUUGUAGUGGGAUUUUUUUUUUGUUACUUUAAAAACCCAAAAAA
rnacentral:lncRNA from 1 species